AUUGAACGCUGGCGGCAGGCCUAACACAUGCAAGUCGAACGAGUGGCGGACGGGUGAGUAAUGUAUGGGAAACUGCCCGAUGGAGGGGGAUAACUACUGGAAACGGUAGCUAAUACCGCAUACCAUCGGAUGUGCCCAUAUGGGAUUAGCUAGUAGGUGGGGUAAAGGCUCACCUAGGCGACGAUCCCUAGCUGGUCUGAGAGGAUGACCAGCCACACUGGCACUGAGACACGGUCCAGACUCCUACGGGAGGCAGCAGUGGGGAAUAUUGCACAAUGGGCGCAAGCCUGAUGCAGCCAUGCCGCGUGUAUGAAGAAGGCCUUCGGGUUGUAAAGUACUUUCAGCGAGGAGGCGUUACCCGCAGAAGAAGCACCGGCUAACUCCGUGCCAGCAGCCGCGGUAAUAC
rnacentral:rRNA from 1 species